AGCGAACGCUGGCGGCAGGCCUAACACAUGCAAGUCGAACGAAGCCUUCGGGCUUAGUGGCGGACGGGUGAGUAACACGUGGGAACGUACCUUUUGGUUCGGAACAACUCUGGGAAACUUGAGCUAAUACCGGAUGAGCCCUUAGGGGGAAAGAUUUAUCGCCGAAAGAGCGGCCCGCGUUAGAUUAGCUAGUUGGUGAGGUACAGGCUCACCAAGGCAACGAUCUAUAGCUGGUCUGAGAGGAUGAUCAGCCACACUGGGACUGAGACACGGCCCAGACUCCUACGGGAGGCAGCAGUGGGGAAGCGUGCGCAAUGGGCGAAAGCCUGACGCAGCCGUGCUGCGUGAAUGAUGAAGGUCUUAGGAUUGUAAAAUUCUUUUACCAGGGACGAUAAUGACGGUACCUUGAGAAAAAGCCCCGGCUAACUUCGUGCCAGCCGCCGCAGUAACAC
rnacentral:rRNA from 1 species